rfam:Moorella sp. 60_41 MPF_scaffold_2101, whole genome shotgun sequence.
CACACCCUGCAAUGACCGUGUUAGGGCCGCAUGUUGUGAGCCAACACCAACACCUAGGGAGCCCGGACUCUGGUCGUGGCUUGUAAGCCCCCGGCGAGGGGAAACAAAAAGCGUCCAGGAGGGCACCCACCUGCGGAGAGCGGGUUCAUGAAACUGCGGCACGGCACGGCAUUUGUGGGGUUUUG